GACGAACGCUGGCGGCGUGCUUAACACAUGCAAGUCGAACGGAAAGGCCCUGCUUUUGUGGGGUGCUCGAGUGGCGAACGGGUGAGUAACACGUGAGUAACCUGCCCUUUACUUUGGGAUAACUUCAGGAAACUGGGGCUAAUACCUGAUAGGAGCUCGUGCUGCAUGGGGGGGGUUGGAACGUUUCGGCGGGUGUGGAUGGACUCGCGGGUUAUCAGCUUGUUGGUGGGGGAGUUGCUUACCAAACCUUUGGCGGGUCGCCGGCAUGGGAGGUUGGACGGGGUCCAGAGGACUGAGGGACGGAGCAGACUGGUAUAGUGGGCAGUAGUCGGGAGUAUGACACAGUGGGGGGACGUCUGAGGAGGAAGUGCUGCGUGUGGGAUGACGGCCUUGGGGUUGUAAACCGCAUUAGGCUGAGACGAAGCGUGUGUGACGUUAAUGGGUGAAGAAGCACCGGCUAACUACGUG
rnacentral:rRNA from 1 species